rnacentral:rRNA from 1 species
GACGAACGCUGGCGGCGUGCUUAACACAUGCAAGUCGAACGGAAAGGCCUCUUUCGGGGGGUACUCGAGUGGCGAACGGGUGAGUAACACGUGAGUAACCUGCCCUUGACUUUGGGAUAACUUCAGGAAACUGGGGCUAAUACCGGAUAGGAGCUCCUGCUGCAUGGUGGGGGUUGGAAAGUUUCGGCGGUUGGGGAUGGACUCGCGGCUUAUCAGCUUGUUGGUGGGGUAGUGGCUUACCAAGGCUUUGACGGGUAGCCGGCCUGAGAGGGUGACCGGCCACAGUGGGACUGAGAUACGGCCCAGACUCCUACGGGAGGCAGCAGUGGGGAAUAUUGCCCAAUGGGUGGAAGCCUGAUGCAGCAACGCCGUGUGCGGGAUGACGGCCUUCGGGUUGUAAACCGCUUUCGCUCAUGACGAAGCUUUGUGUGACGGUAGUGGGUAAAGAAGCACCGGCUAACUACGUG